ACCCUGACCAAAACAGACUGUGCACGCGUCAUCCAUCNUGCCGGCGGCGGCAUCGUUCGUCGCUUGGCCAAGUCCUUGAGAACCUCCUCUCCUCGGAGCGGGGGCUCAGGGUAAAAGAACCCACGGCGCCUUAGGCGUCAAGGAACACUGUGCCUAGCACGGGGACGCGGACGGCUUGCUGGCUGCACCCCGUGCUGCAAUGCUAUUUAAUCCACACGACUCUCGGCAACGGAUAUCUCGGCUCUCGCAUCGAUGAAGAACGUAGCGAAAUGCGAUACCUGGUGUGAAUUGCAGAAUCCCGCGAACCAUCGAGUCUUUGAACGCAAGUUGCGCCCGAGGCCAUUCGGUUGAGGGCACGCCUGCCUGGGCGUCACGCCAAACACGCUCCCACCCCAUCAUCGGGGAGCAGGAUGCGGCUUGUGGCCCCCCGUCACGCAAGGGGCGGUGGGCUGAAGAUAUGGCUGCCGGCGAAUCGUGUCGGACACAGCGCGUGGUGGGUGACCUCGCUUUACUUACCGCAGUGCAUCCGACGCCUAGCCGACAUUAUGGCCACGAAUGACCCUGUGAACGGUGCGCACGACGCUCCGACU
rnacentral:rRNA from 1 species